rnacentral:lncRNA from 1 species
UGGCUUGUAAGGUAGACCUUCCUGCGGGACUGUCUAGAUGAACCUAUGUGCAGGCUUAUGUGCAAGGAACAUGUUUCUAUGUGAGUAAUACACUUCUUUGCAGAAACUGCAGUUAACUAGUACACCAUAAUGAUAAUAAUUGUAUAUUUACCUUGGACAAUUUGCUAAACCUGCUCAUGCAAUGUAAAUUGUAUGCUCAGGGACUGGAUAGCCUAAAGUUUGAUCCUGGUGAUUGUGCAUCUAUUGGAUCUGGACCUAUGAAACGGUAUGAUGCUUGAUCCAAAAUUCUCUCUUUCAAUUGGUUAUGCAUUUUUACUGCUGUUUUUUCUCCAUUGAAGUUCCAUGUAGCACCCAGUGCCCAUGGGGGAAAAUGACAAAAAGCAAUCUAGCAUGAAUUUAGUUAAGUAAAACUACAUUAACUCAAUGCUUGCAUACGGUCGAUCAAUCAUAACCCAAUGUGUUGAAAUGCUAGUUUUGGAGAAAGACUGUUCUAAUGACCUGAGCUCUUUAACAUAAGGUUCAUACCUUCAACUUUGCAGUACAUAAGUGAUGAUUGAGGUGCACAAGCUCUCUCACACACAAACAGUUAGUAUGUACUUACAACAAUUUUUAUACAUUACAGAUUACACAAAUAUAAACCAGUAUACGUAGAGAAGAGUGAGAUUGCAUGCAUUAUCUUGCAAGAUCUACAUCCAGCACCA